rnacentral:rRNA from 1 species
UACAGAGGUGGCAAGCGUUGUUCGGAAUUACUGGGCGUAAAGGGCGCGUAGGCGGCCCUCUUAGUCGGACGUGAAAUCCCCAGGCUUAACUUGGGAACUGCGUCCGAUACUGGAGGGCUUGAGUGCGGGAGAGGGAUGUGGAAUUCCAGGUGUAGCGGUGAAAUGCGUAGAUAUCUGGAGGAAUACCGGUGGCGAAGGCGGCAUCCUGGACCGACAUUGACGCUGAGGAGCGAAAGCUAGGGGAGCAAACGGG